CUCCGGGUCCCUGACAGCCACCAACAGCCUUCACUCGUGCCUGGCAACAGAUGCACCAACCUCAACAGCAUCUAUGACCUUUCACGUUGACCCCGGAGAGGAAGUGACCUGCAGGAGGCUACAUCCAGCUGCCUGAAGGCUACCAUGGUCACCAGGCUGGGCUCUGGACACAAAGCAGGCAGGAUGAG